GCACCCAGGGUUAGUCUAAAUGGAAUCUUAAAUUGGUAUUACUUUCCAGAAUGCUGCUGCUUGAAGUACUGGUGUGGGGUCUGUGGGGACCACUACAUGGCCCAAAGACUGCUUCCUGGUGUUCUUCAGGUCUCCUGAGCAAAACCCGUUACCUGUACCAGUUUUCAUCUCGCCUCUCCCUUCCCUAAAGUCCUACAGGGAAAGUCUCUCCAGUUCUCCCAAAAGACUAACCGCUUUAAAGUUUCUUUAAAGUUCGAUAUUACGUCCAACAGUUCACUCUUCAAGCGGCACCCUUGUUCUUCCAUCCCUGCAUUUAAGAUGCCCCAGCUUCCUGUGGUACCGCGGCUCUCAGCCUUAAAGGCCACAGGAAACUAGACGCUACAUACUGUGGCAUACCUGGUGACAUGGUAAGUAAAAUGUUUGAUUUUUGGUCUGAUUUAGAUUAAGAGUAAUGUGCUUAAAGUUCCCAAGAUGUAGUUUUGACUCAACAUAGCUGUUAUUGGUCCCCUUUUAGUAACUUAAGAUUAAUUUCCUUUAAGUUGUUUUAGAUACAUGAAAACUAGGGCUGGUAAGAACUACCCUUUCUCAUGGUGCAUGAAUGCUAACGCCUUCAGCUGGGAUAAAGCUAACUCCUACCGCUAGUCUUAGCAGAGGCUUCCAGCUAGUUCUUGUCAAAAGACGAGGAUAAGGAAGACUCCAUAAAGAUCGUUGUCAGAGGUGGGAUCCAGUGCAUCUAGACAAAUGGCAACGAGCGAGGCGCCACGACCUAGAGGUGGUCAUCAGGGUAAACUUACUUAACUAUUCUCGUACUACAGGGCUCGGGCGACCACGUCCAGGCAACGAGGACUGUCGGAGUACAGAAGAACAUUUAUAACGAUAUAAAGUGGCAAGACAUUGUCACGUCACGUCUGUGAUACCAGCCUUUGAUAUUUCUUUUGUUGACAGAAAAUUGCGUG